rnacentral:lncRNA from 1 species
GUCGAGAGGACUUGCAUUUUUUCCAACAGAUAAUCGUGAAGGUUGUCAGAAAUAGUGUUUUAGAAUAAUCAAAAGUACUAGCAUUUGCUGCAAUAAAUUUUGUUGUAAGAACUAAUUUAGAUUUUACGAUAAACUUGUAGAAAAUAUGCUACUGUGUGUGCAAUUGGCAUACUGAACUGGUGUUAACUCGAUACCUACUCUUGUUAUUUUCGGUGUUUUUGUUAUUGGAUAAUAGAUACUAGAAUUUUUUAUGUUUGUAUCCGUGAAUGGUGUUAUUGACGACUCGAAAUGACGUCAAAACAGGAAGCCGCUGUUGGACUCAUAAAGCAAAGGAGUUGCAACGGUUGACUUCUGUCCCCACGAGGUACGGUCUGAUUACUCUCCCAAGGGAAGAAGGGGACCGUCUUGCAAAGGGGCUCUCCACUUGUUGGACACCACGGCUUCCUGCUCUGCCAACUACAGGAAGUUCACGUGUCUAUACACCCCUAUCUGGCAGGCGAGAAACGUUGCGGUAAUUUUUGGCCGAGUUUUUUUUUUUUUUACUGUUUUCUGCAUUGGAAAUUCAAACCGAAAGAUAUAUAUCAAAGGAUAAAUGAUCGAAGGAUAGUCAAGUGACGUCAAUUGGCAAUUGUCAAACGACACGUGCGCCAACCAAAGGGCGUUGUCGCGAUUAGGAGCAUUGAAGGCACGCUUCGGCAUAUGACCAUUAGCUACUAUAAGGGUAGAUGGGGAAUAGAGUAAGGAGAAAGAAAAAAAUUCGAUAAGGUAACAAAGAACAUACAGGACAAUCAGCAUUAACGAUACUGACGUCAUAACAUUUGCCGUCCCUUGAGGGAAAAGACCAUAUUCUUUGCCUUCAUUGAUCCGACUUGGUGUUUUGCAGAAUGUUACCUCGCAUUUUCUUCGACGUCCCUAGAAUAUUUCCGAUUCUUCUUUUUACGGAAAUAAAACUGCAAAAAAGUUUAACGCAUUUCCGAUCUGUCUAGUGUCCAUAUUUCUCGAGACAUUCCCUAUAUCUGCC